rnacentral:rRNA from 1 species
AACGUAGGAGCCAAGCGUUAUCCGAAUUCACUGGGCGUAAAGCGCGUGUAGGCGGCUUGGCAAGUCGGGUGUGAAAGCCCUGGGCUCAACCUAGGAAGUGCACUCGAAACUGCCUCGCUUGAAUGCCGGAGAGGAAAGCGGAAUUCUCGGUGUAGAGGUGAAAUUCGUAGAUAUCGAGAGGAACACCGGUGGCGAAGGCGGCUUUCUGGACGGUGAUUGACGCUGAGACGCGAAAGCGUGGGGAGCAAACAGG